CCAAAGGCUCCUCUCUGGAGCCACCAAAAUGUCACCGCCAGGAGUUA
rfam:Aedes albopictus isolate Foshan contig75856, whole genome shotgun sequence.